UCUAAAAAUAAGGUGAUAAUUCUUGACAGGCUACCUGUGUCAGCAAAAGGAAAGGCAAAGACAUGGGGUGGCAGUUCCCUCCGAGUGAUGCCGUCCUGGGCUAAGUGUCAGAAUCUCUUGCAGCUCACAGCAGUUUAAUGGUACCACUUUUAUGAUGACAAUCUCUCAUCCGAAGGAAUCGUUUAACAAUACAGCCCAAAGAGCUGGAGAUGUUCACACCAUUCCUGCACCACACAAAACUCCCAGUACAACAAACUUCCUCCUGUGUUUGUUUGUCUUUCACUUUGGGAAUUUUUCUACAGUAUCACUCCAAAGAUGUCUACCAAGAGGAAAAAGUAAUUUUCUAUUCCUCAACUCCUCAACUCUCUCUCUCUUCCUGUUUCCUGCCUCCCCCCCCCCCAUCUCUCUCUCUCUCUCUCUCUCUCUCUCUCUCUCUCUCUCUCUCUCUCUCUCUCUCUCUCUCUCUCUCUCUCUCUCUCUCUCUCUCUCUCUCUCUCUAUGUAAAAGUAAGAAUAAUCCUGAGGAUUGUUAAAUAGAGUGAGACUGAUUGUAAAUGAAAAUGGAAUUAUACAAGAGUAAGAAAGAGUGAAAAGGAUGAAGUGAAAAAUGACACAGAGCAAAUGAGGGGGAGAGAGAACAAGGUAUUACUCCCUUAUCACCUUAUCUCUGACAGAUAAGAAGAAGGGGAGGUGACAAAGAGAGAAGUAUGAGACAUGACAAAAGAGGAAGGGAGAGGAAAGGAAAAUUGGGAGGAAGAGAAGUAACCAAGGAAGGAGAGUACAUGGGUGCAGCAGCCAUGUCGGAGUCUGGUGAAGCGUCCUCUGCCUCUCGAUCCCCUUCCCCUCCUGCCCCACCUGGGUCCACUGUUCGCCCUCAAGAUGAUGACGACAGGCACAGGGAUCAUUCAUCUCGUCGCUUGAGUGGGAGGCAUGGUUGCGUGAGAUUACGUAACAGUGCUGACGCACGUGGUUCCCGCGGCACUUCUCCUGCUUCUCCCCCUUGGUCAGUUGUGUUGGACGCCUUGGCUGAUUUGCGGGGUGAAGUGGAGGCCUUGAAGGCAGACAGACGGCAACUACCACCCCCUACUGGGUCGGCGCAGGUGACUGUGGAGGACAGUACUCUGGGGGGCUGGGGUUUGUCACCUCCUUGUUCUGCCACUUUUUCUGGUUUCUCGGCCAGGAUGAGUGAGGAUGAGGCAGUGUCGAUGCCUGCUGCCCCUGCUGACAGCACCUUAAUUCAGGGCACUAAGGCCUUUGGUCCUUUUGACACGGUGGUUGCUGACAUUGACAAUAGAGUGGCAGAGAUGGUAAACUUUCUCUUUGAUAAUGGUAUGAGAGAGGAGGACUACAAGGCCAUGUGUGAGGACGAUGUUGUCAAGAGGCCUAAUAACUGCCAUGCUCUUGCGCCAGUGGAAUGCAACCCACAGGUGUUGGAGGCCCUGAAGCUGGAUGCCAGGAAGACAGACUUCCGCUUGAAGGAGGUAAAUAAGGACAUCCUGUGGGCUUCAACCAUUAUCACCAAAUCCUUAGUGGCACUGGAUGAUUUGGCUGAACAGGAAGGUAACCCCAAGUUGGCACAUGAGGUGAGCAUGCUAAAUGGUGCAUUGGCAUUGCUAGGCAAUGCCAAUCACAGGAACAAUUUGGCCAGGCGUUUUGUCAUGAAACGCGAGAUAAACUAUAAAUAUGCUCAUCUUUGUUCAGAUAAGGUGCCAAUUACUCGCUUUCUGUUCGGCGACGAUGUGUCCCAGUCUGCCAGACAAAUUGAGGAAGCGGAGAAACUGCGGAGUAAGUUCUCGCAGAAAAAGCCUGCCUUUACUAGCAAGUUCGCAGGUAAACGCCCUGGUGGAUAUUGGAACAAGCCUGCUAGUAGGGGAUAUUACGCCAGGUUCCAACCCUACGGGCAACAGGGGUAUGGCUCCAGGGCUGCCCCACGACUGCCUUCCACUCGUCAGGAUGUGGAGCCAAAAAACUCCAAGGGACGGGGCGGCCGCAGCAGGCAGCCCCAGUAAACUUACAGGCAAGUGCAUGUUUUGAAGCUGGCAGACUACACUCUUUCCUGCAUGAGUGGCAUAAAAUUACCAGUGACCCUGUCAUUUUGGAUAUUGUUCAGCAUUGCCACCUUGAUAUUGAUGUCGAUAGUGUUCAUCCUUUAUUUUUUAAUGAUUUGGAAUACAGGUUCAACACUGUGCAACAGGGGAUAAUUUCUGGAGAGAUCAAAAAACUUUUACAGCUUAAAGUCAUUAAAGUCACACACAAACAAACUCAGCAGGUUAUCUCUCCUAUUUUUUUGUGAGAAAAGAAAAACGGGGAAUUUCGCCUGGUUCUUAACUUGGAGAGGUUAAACAAAUACAUACCAUAUAAACAUUUUAAAAUGGAAAAUUUUGAACAGGCCAUCAGGCUCAUCAACUAGGGUGAUUUUUUGGCUUCUGUCGAUCUCAGGCAUGCUUAUUAUUCUGUUAGGGUUGCAGAUGAGCAACAACGAUUUUUAUGUUUUACAUGGCAAGGUGUUAUCCAUCAAUUCACCUGCCUCCCUAAUGGCAUUUCUGAGGGACCUCGGCUUUUCACCAAACUGAUGAAGCCAGUAUUUGCUACUCUAAGGCAGGAAGGAUACACUAUCACCAGCUUUAUAGAUGACACAUUAAUUUGCAGUAACUCUUACUCAGGAUGUCUUCAGGCGAUUCAGGCCACCAUUUCUCUGUUGCAGAGGUUAGGCUUUUGUAUCAAUAUGGAGAAGUCUGUUCUCACCCCCACACAAUGUAUUGAAUACCUAGGCAAUGUUAUUAACACCAAGUUCAUGACUGCCUCUUUACCUGAGCGUAGACUAAUCAAAAUUCGCUAAGGAUGUGCAGAACUUUUGUGUAAAGAUGUUGCCCCCAUUCGAGAGGUGGCCAGGGUGAUCGGCCUCAUGGUGGCUGCGAUCCCAGCAGUGGAGUUAGGUAAACUUCACUACAGGAAGUUGGAGGGGGGAAAAAUUGCCGCUUUGAAACAGGAGUACGGUAAUUUUGACAGGCCUUUGAAUAUUACUGCAGACAUGAAACUAGACCUUUCCCGGUGAUUAGACAAUGUGGACAGACACCACAGACACAUUUUUAGGCCAGGUACUGACAUCGAUUUAUUUACUGAUGCCUCCAGCCUUGGUUGGGGGGGUCAUUUGGGGUGUCAGAUUACAAGUGGUACUUGGUCCCUGGAUGAAAAGGAGCUUCACAUUAACAUCCUGGAGAUGAAAGCCAUUCUAUUCUCUUUGCAAGCAUUUGAACAUGAGCUGGAAGGUAGACAUGUUAGAGUUUUUUGUGAUAAUACCACUGCCAUAAACUAUGUCAAUGAAAUGGGAGGCACAAAGUCCAAGUCCUGUAAUGAUGUUGCUACCCAGAUUUGGGAUUGGUGUCUGGAACAUGACUCAUGGGUUACAUGCUCGCACAUACCGGGGAAGGACAACACCUUGGCUGAUGUAGCCUCUCACAAGAUUAAUGACAGACAUGAGUGGAAACUCGACUCACACAUUUUUACUACCUUGUGUAAUGUUUUUGGGACACCGUCCAUUGAUUUAUUUGCCUCAAGGCUUAACAAACAGGUUAAUACAUUCUGUUCGUGGUUGCCAGAUCCGGAGGCUAAAUAUUUUGAUGCUUUUUCCUUGGACUGGUCAAACUUUGAUUUGUCUUACAUUUUCCCCCCAUUCUCAUUAAUUGCUAGGUGCCUUCAGAAGUUACGUGCGGAGCAAGCACGAGGCUGGAUGGUGGUUCCUCUGUGGCCGUCCCAGUUUUGGAUGGGCAUGCUGCUCCAGUUGCUAAUAGACUUCCCACGUUUGAUAACGAACAGGAGGAAUGUUCUAACACACCCGUCCACAACAGAUCCACACCCCAUCAUGUCCCACACGAGGCUCAUGGCAUGCCUUCUGUCAGGGAAAAAUUGCAGAAACGAGGAGUUUCGCCGGCUGCUGCGGACAUCAUACUUGCCUCCUGGAAACCAGGUACUGAGAGGCAAUACCGCCCACAUGUCCAGAGGUGGUCGUUGUUUUGUGGUAGACGGAAUGUCGAUCCCAUUUCUCCAACUGUAGGUCACAUUGUAAAUUUUUUGACGGAAACCUUUGACAGGGGUGUGGGUUAUGAGUGUGUGAACACUGCGAGGGGUGCCCUGUCUUCUCUCGGCAUUGUGGUGGACGGAUGCAGGGCAGGAAAUCACCCUUUGGUCAUCCGAUUCAUGAGAGGGGUUUUCAAUCUUAGAACUCCUCAGCCCAGGUACACUGACACUUGGGACGUCCAACCUGUCUUAGAGCAACUAAGGUCCAUGUUCCCCUUACAUGCAUUAACCCUUAAAGAAUUAACGCUAAAAUUGGUUAUGAUGAUGGCCUUAACUCAAGCUGCCAGAAUUCAAACUUUACAACUACUGUUAAUCAGAGACAUGCUCAUUAAUGAACACUCCAUUUCAGUACAGUUGGGGGGCACUCUUAAACAAUCCAGACCAAAUUUUAACAUCAACAGGGUCACAUUCCAUCGUUACCCUAAGGAUCCACGAUUAUGUGUCUGUAGCACUCUCCUGAGGUACAUUGAUGUGACUAAAGAGCUUAGACAGGAUGAGAUGCACACUGAUACCAGGCUCCUCAUUAGCUUCAUAAAACCCCACAAAUCAGUUUCCAAAGACACUAUUGCCCGUUGGGUCAGGACCAUUCUCCGCAUGUCCGGCAUAGACAUCUCAAAGUUUUCCGCUGGUAGUGUGUGGCCAGCAGCAGCUUCAAAAGCUGGAGUGGCGGCUGUCCCUGUUGCAUGCAUUAUGGCUAAGGUGGGCUGGUCUAGGGAAUCUACCUUUGCAAAAUAUUAUAAUAAGAACAUUGUGGCUGCUUCUGACCUCUUUCAGGAUGCAGUGCUAGAAUAAGACAUGAUUUGGGUUUGUUGCUGCACUCCAGUGUUGCAGUACACGGAUAUUUUAAGUAUUUAGUAUCUAGUACCUUAGGUUUACCUUAUGAUGUGAACUGUUACCAUAUUUCAACAUUGUUUGUAGAUUGGAUUAAGUUGGAUGCAAUGUACCUUAUUUUAUACACCAAUUGUAUGAUUGUCUCAUGUACAAGAUCCUUCCAUGGAAUAAUAGUUAUAGUACUGUUUCUUGUGGGGUAUUUCCUUUUCCUCUCUACUAUUGCAUCCUCCCUCGUCAUCCACAUGGCUUCAAAGCCUCAUGGGAAAUGUCUGCCCAGCAGAUAGGUGAUUUUGCCGAAGUAAAAUUAACAAAGU